GACGAACGCUGGCGGCGUGCUUAACACAUGCAAGUCGAACGGUGAAGCCUUAGCUUGCUGUGGUGGAUUAGUGGCGAACGGGUGAGUAACACGUGAGCAACGUGCCCAGGACUCUGGAAUAACCUCGGGAAACCGUGGCUAAUACCGGAUAGGUGCCGAUGCCGCAUGGUCUUCGGUGGGAAAGUUUUUGCGGUUCUGGAUCGGCUCGCGGCCUAUCAGCUUGUUGGUGGGGUGAUGGCCUACCAAGGCGACGACGGGUAGCCGGCCUGAGAGGGUGACCGGCCACACUGGGACUGAGACACGGCCCAGACUCCUACGGGAGGCAGCAGUGGGGAAUAUUGCACAAUGGGCGCAAGCCUGAUGCAGCAACGCCGCGUGGGGGAUGACGGCCUUCGGGUUGUAAACCUCUUUUAGUAGGGAAGAAGCGCAAGUGACGGUACCUGCAGAAAAAGCACCGGCUAACUACGUG
rnacentral:rRNA from 1 species